AACAGGCUGAGAAUCAUGGGAGUAGUAGUUCAGCAACAUCUGGAGGACUGGAGUUUGGGGAAGCCUGCUCUAGAGCAUCAUGGAAUGCAAAUCACCCUGCAUGUAAAUGAAAUUUGAUUAAUAAUCUGCACUUAUCACAGCUUCCUCCUGGAAAGGCACAAGCAGGGCAUUUCAUGCAAAUUAAUCUCCCAUUGUCCUCUAUAUGAAUUGCAAAUGUUGGGCUAAAAGAUUGACUUGGAGACAUUCAGAAACUCUGCUCUAGUUUUGAAAUGUGGAAAUAAUUUGCAAAAAU